ACCUACCCGGUUACCAAACCCAGUCAAACUCCGAAUGGCUGCAAUCAUACCUGGGAGUCAGACUGCGACUAAUAAGGGCCGUAGUCAAAAGGGAAACAGCCCAGACCAUCAGCUAAGGUCCCCAAUGCCGUGCUAAGUGGCGAAGGAUGUGGCAUUUCAUAAACAACCAGGAUGUUGGCUCAGAAGCAGCCACCAUUUAAAGAGUGCGUAAUAGCUCACUGGUCGAGAGACGCUGCGCCGAAAAUGUCCGGGGCUUAAGCACGGAACCGAAGCUAUGGCAUGAUAGCAAUAUCAUGGGUAGGGGAGCGUUCUUAUAAGGAAGAAGCAUGACCGGAAGGACAUGUGGACGAAUAAGAAGUGAGAAUGCCGGUAUGAGUAUCGAAAAGAAAGGUGAGAAUCCUUUCCACCGAAAGCCCGAGGGUUCCUGAGCAACGAUCGUCGACUCAGGGUAAGUCGGGACCUAAGCCGAGGCGAGAAGCGUAGGCGAUGGACAACAGGUUGAAAUUCCUGUACCGGAUCAAGUCGAUCGAGCGAAGGAGCGACGCAGGAGGGCACAUGAUCGCGCGGCUGGAAGAGCGCGUCCAAGUGCGUAUGUUGCAGCAGAGGAAAACCCCUGCAGCUAAAAGCAGAGACAUGAUGGGGAGUUAAAGGAAACUUUGACGAACUCAUGAAUCCCACACUGCCAAGAAAAACUUCUAGCGAGACAAGAUCCGCCCGUACCGUAAACCGACACAGGUAGGCGGGGAGAGAAUCCUAAGGUGCGCGGGAAAACCCUCGUUAAGGAACUCGGCAAAUUGCAUCCGUAACCUAGGGAGAAGGAUGGCCCCCGGUCAGUGAAGAGCAGAAACGCUCAGAGCUAAAAGGGGCGGCAGAAAAGAGGCCCAAGCAACUGUUUACCAAAAACACAGGUGCCUGCGAAAGCGAAAGCUGAAGUAUAGGUGCUGACGCCUGCCCGGUGCCGGAAGGUUAAGGAGAGAAGUUAGCGAAAGCGAAGCAUCGAACUGAAGCCCCGGUGAACGGCGGCCGUAACUAUAACGGUCCUAAGGUAGCGAAAUUCCUUGUCGGGUAAGUUCCGACCCGCAUGAAAGGCGUAAUGAUUUGGGCACUGUCUCAACGAGGGGCCCGGUGAAAUUGAAAUACCUGUGAAGAUGCAGGUUACCCGCGACUGGACAGAAAGACCCCAUGGAGCUUCACUGCAGCUUGAGAUUGAAUCCCGGUGACAGAUGCACAGGAUAGGUGGGAGGCGCCGAAGCAUUGCCCUAGGGCGGUGCGGAGCCGAUGUUGGGAUACCACCCUUCUGUUGCUGAGAUUCUAACGCGAGGAGUAACGACCCUGCGGACCCUCUCAGGCAGGCGGUUUGACUGGGGCGGUCGCCUCCGAAAG
rnacentral:rRNA from 1 species